AAAUAGAUACCCGGGUAGUCCACGCCGUAAACGAUGAGUGCUAAGUGUUAGGGGUUUCCGCCCCUUAGUGCUGCAGCUAACGCAUUAAGCACUCCGCCUGGGGAGUACGGUCGCAAGACUGAAACUCAAAGGAAUUGACGGGGGCCCGCACAAGCGGUGGAGCAUGUGGUUUAAUUCGAAGCAACGCGAAGAACCUUACCAGGUCUUGACAUCCCAUUGACCGCUAUGGAGACAUAGCUUUCCCUUCGGGGACAGUGAUAACAGGUGGUGCAUGGUUGUCGUCAGCUCGUGUCGUGAGAUGUUGGGUUAAGUCCCGCAACGAGCGCAACCCUUGUUCUUAGUUGCCAUCAUUUAGUUGGGCACUCUAAGGAGACUGCCGGUGACAAACCGGAGGAAGGUGGGGAUGACGUCAAAUCAUCAUGCCCCUUAUGACCUGGGCUACACACGUGCUACAAUGGACGGUACAAACGGUUGCCAACCCGGCGAGGGGGAGCUAAUCCGAUAAAACCGUUCUCAGUUCGGAUUGUAGGCUGCAACUCGCCUAC
rnacentral:rRNA from 1 species